rnacentral:rRNA from 1 species
CCUACGGGGAGCAGCAGUGGGGAAUAUUGCACAAGGGGGGAAACCCUGAUGCAGCGAUGCCGCGUGGAGGAAGAAGGUUUUCGGAUUGUAAACUCCCUUUAUCAGGGACGAUAAUGACGGUACCUGAAGAAAAAGCACCGGCUAACUACGUGCCAGCAGCCGCGGUAAUACGUAGGGAGCGAGCGUUGUCCGGAAUUACUGGGUGUAAAGGGAGCGGAGGCGGGACGGCCAGUCAGAUGUGAAAACUGAGGGCUCAACUUUCAGACUGCAUUUGAAACUGCUGUUCUUGAGUGAAGUAGGGUUAAGCGGACUUCCUAGUGUAGCGGUGCAAUGCGUAGAUAUUAUGAGGAACAUCUGUGGCGACGGCGGCUUACUGGGCUUUUACGGACGCUGAGGCUCGAAAGCGUGGGGAGCAAACAGGAUUAGAUACCCCUGUAGUC